rnacentral:rRNA from 1 species
GACGAACGCUGGCGGCGUGCUUAACACAUGCAAGUCGAACGGAAAGGCCCUGCUUUUGUGGGGUGCUCGAGUGGCGAACGGGUGAGUAACACGUGAGUAACCUGCCCUUGACUUUGGGAUAACUUCAGGAAACUGGGGCUAAUACCGGAUAGGAGCUCCUGCUGCAUGGUGGGGGUUGGAAAGUUUCGGUGGUUGGGGAUGGACUCGCGGCUUAUCAGCUUGUUGGUGGGGUAGUGGCUUACCAAGGCUUUGACGGGUAGCCGGCCUGAGAGGGUGACCGGCCACAGUGGGACUGAGAAACGGCCCGGACUCCUACGGGAGGCAGCGAUGGGAAAUAUUGCGCGAUGGGCGGAAGCCUGAAACAGCAACUCCGCGUGCGGGAGGACGGCCGUCGGGUUGUAAACCGCUUUCGCCUGUGACGAAGCGUGUGUGACGGUAAUGGGUAAAGAAGCACCGGCUAACUACGUG